UUUCGGAUGGAAUUUUUUAUUGCCAGCGGCGGACGGGUGAGUAACGCGUGGAUAACCUGCCCCGUACAGGGGGAUAACAGCGGGAAACGGCUGCUAAUACCCCAUAAACCCUGAGGUACGCAUGUACCAUAGGGAAAAGUUCCGGCGGUACGGGAUGGAUCCGCGUCUGAUUAGCUAGUUGGUGAGGUAAAGGCCCACCAAGGCGACGAUCAGUAGCCGGCCUGAGAGGGCGGACGGCCACAUUGGGACUGAGACACGGCCCAGACUCCUGCGGGAGGCAGCAGUGGGGAAUAUUGCACAAUGGGGGAAACCCUGAUGCAGCGACGCCGCGUGGGUGAAGAAGUAUUUCGGUAUGUAAAGCCCUAUCAGCAGGGAAGAAAGAGGACGGUACCUGACUAAGAAGCCCCGGCUAACUACGUGCCAGCAGCCGCGGUAAUACGUAGGGGGCAAGCGUUAUCCGGAUUUACUGGGUGUAAAGGGAGCGUAGACGGCAGAUCAAGUCUGGAGUGAAAUCCCGGGGCUCAACCCCGGAGCUGCUCUGGAAACUGAGAAGCUAGAGUACUGGAGAGGCAGGCGGAAUUCCUAGUGUAGCGGUGAAAUGCGUAGAUAUUAGGAGGAACACCAGUGGCGAAGGCGGCCUGCUGGACAGCGACUGACGUUGAGGCUCGAAAGCGUGGGGAGCAAACAGGAUUAGAUACCCUGGUAGUCCACGCUGUAAACGAUGAAUACUAGGUGUCGGGGAGCAAAGCUUUCCGGUGCCGCCGCAAACG
rnacentral:rRNA from 1 species